GGUGCUAUAGUGUAGUGGUUAUCACUCGGGAUUUUGAAGCAUAAGCGCCGACGUUCCGCCUUCCCGAAACCCAGGUUCGAACCCUGGUAGCACCU